UACGUAGGGUGCGAGCGUUGUCCGGAAUUAUUGGGCGUAAAGGGCUCGUAGGCGGUCUGUUGCGUCGGUAGUGAAAACUCAGGGCUUAACCCUGAGCCUGCUUCCGAUACGGGCAGACUCGAGGUAUGCAGGGGAGAACGGAAUUCCUGGUGUAGCGGUGAAAUGCGCAGAUAUCAGGAGGAACACCGGUGGCGAAGGCGGUUCUCUGGGCAUUACCUGACGCUGAGGAGCGAAAGUGUGGGGAGCGAACAGG
rnacentral:rRNA from 1 species